rnacentral:rRNA from 1 species
AUUGAACGCUGGCGGCAUGCCUUACACAUGCAAGUCGAACGGUAACGGGCCUUCGGGUGCCGACGAGUGGCGAACGGGUGAGUAAUGUAUAGGCACGUACCUUUCAGUGGGGGAUAACGUAGCGAAAGUUCCGCUAAUACCGAAUAUUCUGUGAGCAGGAAAGCAGGGGAUCGCAAGACCUUGCGCUGGUUGAGCGGCCGAUAUCAGAUUAGCUAGUUGGUGAGGUAAGGGCUCACCAAGGCGACGAUCUGUAGCGGGUCUGAGAGGAUGAGCCGCCACACUGGAACUGAGACACGGUCCAGACUCCUACGGGAGGCAGCAGUGGGGAAUUUUGGACAAUGGGGGCAACCCUGAUCCAGCCAUGCCGCGUGAGUGAAGAAGGCCUUCGGGUUGUAAAGCUCUUUCGGCCGGGAAGAAAUCGUAUCAGCUAAUACCUGAUGCGGAUGACGGUACCGGCAUAAGAAGCACCGGCUAACUACGUGCCAGCCGCCGCGGUAAGAC